GACAGAGGUGCCGAGCGUUAGGCGGAAUCACUGGGCUUAAAGCGUGUGUAGGCGGAUCGUUAAGUGCCUUGUGAAAUCCCACGGCUCAACCGUGGAACUGCUUGGCAUACUGGCGAUCUUGAGCCACUUAGGGGCUACCGGAACAAAUGGUGGAGCGGUGAAAUGCGUAGAUAUCAUUUGGAACGCCAAUGGUGAAAACAGGUAGCUGGGAGUGUGCUGACGCUGAGACACGAAAGCCAGGGGAGCAAACGGG
rnacentral:rRNA from 1 species